AUUGAACGCUGGCGGCAGGCCUAACACAUGCAAGUCGAGCGGAGAUGAGGUGCUUGCACCUUAUCUUAGCGGCGGACGGGUGAGUAAUGCUUAGGAAUCUGCCUAUUAGUGGGGGACAACAUUCCGAAAGGAAUGCUAAUACCGCAUACGUCCUACGGGAGAAAGCAGGGGAUCUUCGGACCUUGCGCUAAUAGAUGAGCCUAAGUCGGAUUAGCUAGUUGGUGGGGUAAAGGCCUACCAAGGCGACGAUCUGUAGCGGGUCUGAGAGGAUGAUCCGCCACACUGGGACUGAGACACGGCCCAGACUCCUACGGGAGGCAGCAGUGGGGAAUAUUGGACAAUGGGGGGACCCUGAUCCAGCCAUGCCGCGUGUGUGAAGAAGGCCUUAUGGUUGUAAAGCACUUUAAGCGAGGAGGAGGCUCUUUUGGUUAAUACCCAAGAUGAGUGGACGUUACUCGCGGAAUAAGCACCGGCUAACUCUGUGCCAGCCGCCGCAGUAA
rnacentral:rRNA from 1 species